CAGCAUGUUUCCAAGGGCUGUGGCUGGCUGUAGCCAUGGGAUCUCCAACUGCAUGCGAGAGCAACCUGGAGGGCCUUUGACAGCGCAGGCCAGCCCGUGCCUGCAGCUGCCACUCAGCUUUCCGAUAGUU
ensembl:snoRNA